UCGAUUAGUUUGAUCAUGGCUCAGAGCGAACGCUGGCGGCGUGCUUAACACAUGCAAGUCGAGUGCGCAGUUUUCUGUAGCAAUACAGGAAACCGGCGCACGGCGCACGGGUGCGUAACACGUGGGCAAUCUGCCCUCGGAUGGGGGAUAACCCCGCGAAAGCGGGGCUAAUACCGCAUGACAUUCCGGAGACUUCGGUCACUGGAUUCAAAGGCCGCAAGGCCGUCUGAGGAGGAGCCCGCGCCCGAUUAGCUAGUUGGUGAGGUAACGGCUCACCAAGGCUUUGAUCGGUAGCCGGUCUGAGAGGAUGGCCGGCCACACUGGAACUGAGACACGGUCCAGACUCCUACGGGAGGCAGCAGUGGGGAAUAUUGCGCAAUGGGCGAAAGCCUGACGCAGCGACGCCGCGUGGGGGAUGAAGCUUUUCGGAGUGUAAACCCCUUUCGACCCGGACGAAUGACCCGCAAGGGUUUGACGGUACGGGUAUAAGAAGCCCCGGCUAACUACGUGCCAGCAGCCGCGGUAAUACGUAGGGGGCCAGCGUUGCUCGGAAUUACUGGGCGUAAAGGGUUCGUAGGCGGUGCGGAAAGUUGGGAGUGAAAUCUCUGGGCUUAACCCAGAGGCUGCUUUCAAAACUUCCGCGCUCGAGUGCGAGAGAGGCCAGUGGAAUUGCAGGUGUAGCGGUGAAAUGCGUAGAUAUCUGCAGGAACACCCGUGGCGAAGGCGGCUGGCUGGAUCGCAACUGACGCUGAGGAACGAAAGCUAGGGGAGCAAACAGGAUUAGAUACCCUGG
rnacentral:rRNA from 1 species